rnacentral:rRNA from 1 species
GAUGAACAACUGGCGGCGUGCUUAACACAUGCAAGUCGAACGGAAAGGCUCCUGCUUGCAGGGGUACUCGAGUGGCAAACGGGUGAGAAACACGUGGGUGAUCUGCACUGCACUUCGGGAUAAGCCUGGGAAACUGGGUCUAAUACCGGAUAGGACGAUGGUUUGGAUGCCAUUGUGGAAAGUUUUUCGGAGUGGGAUGAGCUCGCGGCCUAUCAGCUUGUUGGUGGGGUAAUGGCCUACCAAGGCGUCCACGGGUAGCCGGCCUGAGAGGGUGUACGGCCACAUUGGGACUGAAAUACGACCCACACUCCUACAGGAGGCAUCAGUGGGGAAUAUUGCACAAUGGGCGCAAGCCUGAUGCAACGACGCCGCGUGGGGGAUGACGGCCUUCGGGUUGUAAACUCCUUUCGCUACGGACCAAGCGCAAGUGACGGUACCUGUACAACAAGCACCGGCUAACUACGUGCCAACAGCCGCAGUAAUACGUAUGGUGCGAGCGUUGUCCGGAAUUACUGGGCGUAAAGAGCUCGUAGGUGGUUUGUCGCGUCGUUUUUGUAAGCCCGCAGCUUAACUGCGGGACUGCAGGCGAUACGGGCAUAACUUGAGUGCUGUAGGGGAGACUGGAACUCCUGGUGUAGCGGUGGAAUGCGCAGAUAUCAGGAGGAACACCGAUGGCGAAGGCAGGUCUCUGGGCAGUAACUGACGCUGAGGAGCGAAAGCAUGGGUAGCGAACAGGAUUAGAUACCUUGGUAGUCCAUGCCGUAAACGGUGGGCGCUAGGUGUGAGUCCCUUCCACGGGGUUCGUGCCGUAGCUAACGCAUUAAGCGCUCCGCCUGGGGAGUACGGCCGCAAGGCUAAAACUCGAAGGAAUCGACGGGGGCCCGCACAAGCGGCGGAGCAUGUGGAUUAAUUCGAUGCAACGCGAAGAACAUUACGUGGGCUUGACAUACACCAGCCCGCCGUAGAGAUACGGUUUCCCUCAGUGGUUGGUGUACAGGUGGUGCAUGGUUGUCGUCAGCUCGUGUCGUGAGAUGUGGGGUUAAGUCCUGCAACGAGCGCAACCCUUGUCUUAUGUUGCCAGCACGUUAUGGUGGGGACUCGUGAGAGACUGCCGGGGUCAACUCGGAGGAAGGUGGGGACGACGUCAAAUCAUCAUGCCCUUCAUGUCCAGGGCUUCACACAUGAUUCAAUGGUCGGUACAACGCGUCUGCGAGCCUGUGAGGGUGAGAUAAUCGCCGUAAAGCCGGUCGUAGUUCGGAUUGGGGUCUCCAACUCGCCCCCAUGAAGUCGGAGUCGUUAGUAAUCGCAGAUCAGCAACGAUGCGGUGAAAAAGUUCCCGGCCCU